rnacentral:rRNA from 1 species
CCUACGGGAGGCAGCAGUGGGGAAUAUUGGGCAAUGGGCGCAAGCCUGACCCAGCAACGCCGCGUGGAGGAAGAAGGCUUUCGGGUUGUAAACUUCUUUUGUCAGGGACGAAGCAAGUGACGGUACCUGACGAAUAAGCCACGGCUAACUACGUGCCAGCCGCCGCGUUAAUACGUCGGGGGCACGCGUUAUCCGUAGUUACUGGGUGUAAAGGGCGUGUAGGCGGGACUGGAAGUCAGAUGUGAACGCCCCGGGCUCAACCUGGGGACUGCAUGUGAUACUGUAGUUCUUGAGUACUGGAGAGGCAGGCGGAAUUCCUAGUGUAGCGGUGAAAUGCGUAGAUAUGAGGAGGAACACCAGUGGCGAAGGCGGUCUGCUGGACAGCAACUGACGCUGAGGCGCGAAAGCGUGGGGAGCAAACAGGAUUAGAUACCCUUGUAGUC